rnacentral:rRNA from 1 species
UACAGAGGUCCCAAGCGUUGUUCGGAUUCACUGGGCGUAAAGGGCUCGUAGGCGGCCAACUAAGUCAGACGUGAAAUCCCUCGGCUUAACCGGGGAACUGCGUCUGAUACUGGAUGGCUUGAGUUUGGGAGAGGGAUGCGGAAUUCCAGGUGUAGCGGUGAAAUGCGUAGAUAUCUGGAGGAACACCGGUGGCGAAGGCGGCAUCCUGGACCAAUUCUGACGCUGAGGAGCGAAAGCCAGGGGAGCAAACGGG